GGGAUGCAGUUCACUCGAUACAGGAAGUUAAGGUCAGGAACUGGUUUGGAAGCUUCGACAGUGAUGAAAGCUGAACGAUACUGUUUCGAAUCGUGACGUCACAACCAGCAAGCGGCAGCCGGGUGUCAGUAGCGAGUGUUCUUCGGUGCGUGGGUGCGUGAUUCUCGUGGACCUAAGAAAUUGACUUUGAAUUUGAUUGUUUAAACAUUAACGUGCAUCAGUGUCCUGUCGUGGCGUGAGUGAUCUGUGAGUGUGCUAAUAUUUGCGUUAAAGGCACCUCUCUCGCUCCUCUCACUAAACACAAAACGAGUGGUGGAAUCGAGGACCUUCUCCCCUCCCGUGCUGGGUAUGAAGGAGGGGCUCAGGACGCCAGUGACUCCGCCUCGCCUCACCACAAGCCGGCUCGGACACAGGCGUAGGAGACCUGCCGCCCCUUUACUGCCCCACCCGCCCUGCACAGAGUCACCUGCUCUCAUUUCGCCUUGAUAGUUUCCCUUUCUCAUUUUCCUCUCUGCACUCACUCCCAGCGUCCGCCUCCCCUCCUCCCCACCCUCUUUCUUUCCCCUCUUUCCUCUCUUUUUCUUACCUUUUCAGAUGCACCCCAAGUUAUUCCUCAUCACUCCCCUCGUUAUUUCCCCUCCUUACGCAAAAUAAGAAACACUGGAGCUGCUAUUACUUUUGCCGGCGGUCCCUUCUGCUGCUAUAGCGACGUUAUGCAUUCGGGGACCCGCCUCGCAAAGAGUUGUCAUCAUAUACUAGAGCCAGAACACCAGCGACGCCACCUGCAGCCUUCUCCCUUCCCUUGCCAAGUCCAUGUGUCUGGCUGGCCUGUUGCCUCGCCAGCCUCUAGACGGCAAGCCAGUGACCUGAGAUGACCUGGGAUUCUACACUUCAUCGUGACCUCCCCCGGUGACUCCCCAGCCUGGACAGCCAAUUACGGCCUAAGUAAUGUAUGGCCUCCCCGAGAUGCCGGCCGCCGGGAAAGGGAACGGGAGACGAAUGGGGUAAGAGGAACGUGGAAGAAGGAAGAGGAACAGCCGGAGGAGGCAUGAGGAAACGCGAAGACGACGAUUGCUGUCAUAUGGAAAAAAAGAUGAAAGAGCAGUGAAGGGAGAAAGCAUAGAGGAGGAAAAGGUAGAAAGAACAGUGAAGGGAAGAAGCAUAGAGAAGGAAAAGGUAGAAAGAACAGUGAAGGGAGGAAGCAUAGAGAAGGAAAAGAAAAAGCCAGAAAAUGCAGAAAAAUAUGAGAAUAGAAGAAAUCAGAAGGAGAACCUGAAAAAAAUCGGAAAAGGAACAGUGAAAGGAAGGAGACGAGGCAAGCAACACGAAGAUGAUCACUAUCAAAUGAAAAAAAAAAUGUGGAGAAAAAGGAAAAAGUAAACCCAGACACAACGAAAAAAAACAUUAAUAAAAGAAAUAAGAAAAAAGGGGUAGAAGCUAAAAGAGAAAGGCAAGGAGGAGACGAAGGAUAAUGAAUGCAAUGGAGGAGAGAGGAGGGAAGAGAAGAAGAAAAUAAGAAAGAGAAAAAAAGAUGGGAGGAAUAAGUCAGACACACUGGAAAACAAAACUGGGCAAAAAGGCGAGAGAAACCACAGCCAGACAGCCAUCCAACCAGUUAACCAGCCAGUCAGACAUUCAGCCAGACACUCACCCACACACUCACCCACACACUCACCCACACAGCCAGCAACUCAGCCAAUCAGCCAGCCAGCCACACACUCACCCACUUCUUACCCACCUACACCCAGCCAGUCAACCUGUCACCCACCCACUCAGCCAACCAGUCAGUCAGCCAGCCUA